rnacentral:lncRNA from 1 species
CCGGUAGUAAACAAAAGGAAGUAAUAAAAAGUAUAAAAAAGUAUAAUAACUGACUGAGAAACCAAGUUUGUGUCCAUUUCUCGGUUUUCUAUAGGCCUCUUACAAAACGGAGUUCAAGUUGGCUGUGCUAAUGCAAUCAUUUUUCACUCACAUUCAAAGUGUUAAACAGUUAAGAAAAAACUUAAUAAAAACACAUCGAAAAUUUCAAAAAUCUGUGCGUACAAAACCUAAAGGUAAGCGAGAUGCUUGGAAAUAUACAAGUUUUUCUGAAGUUUUGACAGUCUUUUAGACCAUGUCUUUGCGACGAAGCAUAAGGAUUGAGCUUGCUGCCAGGGCUGCCGCCGCCACCCGGAAUGAAACUAGUAGCGCCGUCCAGCGUACUGCAACCCACCGCAUAAGGAAUCGGCGUGCUGCCACCGCCACCCGAAAUGCUACUAGUAGCGCCGUACAACGUCAUGCUACCCACCGCAUAAGGAAUCGGCGUGCUGCCACCGCUAUCCGAAAUGCUACUAGUAGCGCCGUACAACGGCCACGGGGCGGUGGCCCCAAGGGACGUCUUGUCCGUGAGCUAAAAGAAAUAAUGCUCAAUCCAACGGACGGUUGCCAUGUGAAGAUCGUUGAAGACGAUAUAACCCACUGGCACUGCAUUAUUCACGGCCCUUCCAAUUCUCCCUAUGAGGGAGGGCACUUUAAAUUGGAUGUAUUAUUUCCAGAUAACUACCCGUAUGUCCCGCCUCAUGUACAAUUUACGACUCAGAUUUACCACUGCAACAUCACCAGUGGCGGCCACAUAUGCCUGGACAUACUAUCGAACAACUGGUCGCCUAUCUUGACGGCAGAUAAAGUUCUCCUAUCGAUCAUGUCGCUGCUAGCAGAUCCCAAUCCUGACGACCCCAUGGAAAUCGUAGUUGCCAACAUGUACAAGAGGGACCGAGAGCAGCACGACCGAGUCGCCAGAGAGUGGACCACACUCUACGCCAUGCCAUAAGUUAUAUUUUGAUAAGCAUGCACAUAAUGCACAGUAACACCACCCAGAAAUUCAUACCCAUAUUCAUGCAAAUAUCAGAAUUCUUAUGACAAUUUCCUGAAGAUCUUUAACAAAAACUAUAUCGUGUGUUCCAC